UACGAAGGGGGCGAGCGUUGUUCGGAAUCACUGGGCUUAAAGCGUGCGUAGGCGGGAAUGUAAGUCAGAAGUGAAAUCCCAGGGCUUAACCCUGGAACUGCUUUUGAGACUGCAUUUCUAGAAACCGGUAGAGGUUGGCGGAACUCCCAGUGUAGAGGUGAAAUUCGCAGAUAUUGGGAAGAACACCAGUGGCGAAGGCGGCCAACUGGACCGGUAUUGACGCUGAGGUACGAAAGCGUGGGUAGCAAACAGG
rnacentral:rRNA from 1 species